rnacentral:sRNA from 1 species
UGAAAACAUUUAAAUAUUUACAUGUCUAGUACGUAAUUCAAGUUUUUCUUAUAUCAAACAUGUUCUUUGUAUUUGCAGAAGUGUAUCCCUGUGUUCCUUAAUGGGGUUUUUGAUCAGUACUACAAUGGUUAUUGCAAUGGUAUCUUGUGGCCAAUUCUUCAUCACAUGGGACUUCCACAAGAAGAUCAGCAUGACACAAACCAAACUUUCGAAACACAAUAUGAUGCAUACAAGAAAGCAAAUCGAAUGUUUCUUGAUGUCAUAAUAGACAACUAUGAAGAAGGAGAUAUUGUUUGGUGUCAUGACUAUCAUCUCAUGUUUCUUCCUCAAUACCUUAAAGAGUACAACAACAAAAUCAAAGUUGGAUGGUUUCUCCAUUCACCAUUUCCUUCUUCUGAGGUCUACAAAACAUUGCCCUCGCGGUCAGAGCUUCUUCGUGCGAUUCUUGCAGCUGAUUUACUUGGGUAAAACUCAAACUCUUAACAGUUUCAUAUAUGGUUAGGAAUCAUCUGAUUUGGAUAUCAAAAAAGGUUUAAAUUUAUGUAUUGUUUUUUUCCAGCUUCCAUACAUAUGAUUUU